rnacentral:rRNA from 1 species
GAUGAACGCUAGCGGGAGGCCUAACACAUGCAAGCCGAGCGGUAUUGUUUCUUCGGAAAUGAGAGAGCGGCGUACGGGUGCGUAACACGUGUGCAACCUGCCUUUAUCUGGGGGAUAGCCUUUCGAAAGGAAGAUUAAUACUCCAUAAUAUAUUGAACGGCAUCGUUUAAUAUUGAAAGCUCCGGCGGAUAGAGAUGGGCACGCGCAAGAUUAGCUAGUUGGUGAGGUAACGGCUCACCAAGGCGAUGAUCUUUAGGGGGCCUGAGAGGGUGAUCCCCCACACUGGUACUGAGACACGGACCAGACUCCUACGGGAGGCAGCAGUGAGGAAUAUUGGGCAAUGGGUGCAAGCCUGAACCAGCCAUCCCGUGUGAAGGACGACUGCCCUAUGGGUUGUAAACUUCUUUUGUAUAGGGAUAAACCUACCCUCGAGAGGGUAGCUGAAGGUACUAUACGAAUAAGCACCGGCUAACUCCGUG